rnacentral:rRNA from 1 species
UCGUAACAAGGUUUCCGUAGGUGAACCUGCGGAAGGAUCAUUAUUGAAAGUAAACUGUAGUCGGUUGAGCUGGUUCCUCUGGAACAUGUGCUCGCCUUCUGCGCUUUCUACUUAUCCACCUGUGCACUUAUGUAGACGGUAGAUCAAUCUCUCCGCAAGGAGGAUGGGAGACUCGAGUUAGCAAUAGCUCUUGACUCUAAAGAUCUAUCCGUCUAUGUUACACAUACACUUUUAAAAACUUUGAAUGUCUGUAUUAUUGGUCUUUGACCUUUAAACAUAUACAACUUUCAGCAACGGAUCUCUUGGCUCUCGCAUCGAUGAAGAACGCAGCGAAAUGCGAUAAGUAAUGUGAAUUGCAGAAUUCAGUGAAUCAUCGAAUCUUUGAACGCACCUUGCGCUCUUUGGUAUUCCGAAGAGCAUGCCUGUUUGAGUGUCAUUAAAUUCUCAACCUACACUUGGUUUUCAAUCGAGUUGUUAGGAUUGGACUUGGGAGCUGCUGGCGAGUUUUAUUACGAGUCAGCUCUUCUUAAAUGCAUUAGCGGUGACUUUAACGACCGUUACUUGGUGUGAUAAUUAUCUACGCCUUGUAUAUGGGAGUUAUAAUAAUGGUCGCAGCUUCUAACUGUCUGUUCAAUUCAAGU